UCGAGAAUCUUUCACAAUGGGGGAAACCCUGAUGGAGCGACGCCGCGUGGAGGAUACAGUCUUCGGAUUUUAAACUCCUGUCAUGCAAGAGCAAGGCUGUCAAAAGCUUGAUAGUAUUGCAAGAGGAAGAGGCGGCAAACUCUGUGCCAGCAGCCGCGGUAAUACAGAGGCCUCAAGCGUUGUUCGGAAUCACUGGGCGUAAAGGGUGCGUAGGCGGUUUGAUAAGUCAAUUUGUUAAAAUCAUGCGCUCAACGCAUGAAUGCAUUUGAUACUAUUAGACUUGAGAUAUUUAGGGGAGACGGGAAUUCACGGUGUAGCAGUGAAAUGCGUAGAUAUCGUGAGGAACACCA
rnacentral:rRNA from 1 species